CUUCAGUGAUGAUACGAUGACGAGUCGGAACAGGACCCAGCCUGUCUCUGGGGUCCUGGCUCAGGGGCACGUUCUGUGUCUCUGGGUUCAGUCCCCAGGGCAGUGGGUCCUCAUCGCUUGAUGACAUAUGAGGCAUUUGUCUGAGAAGG